rnacentral:rRNA from 1 species
AUUGAACGCUGGCGGCAUGCCUUACACAUGCAAGUCGAACGGUAACGGGCCUUCGGGUGCCGACGAGUGGCGAACGGGUGAGUAAUGUGUCGGAACGUACCUUUCAGUGGGGGAUAACGUAGCGAAAGUUACGCUAAUACCGCAUAUUCUGUGAGCAGGAAAGCAGGGGAUCGCAAGACCUUGCGCUGACUGAGCGGACGAUAUCAGAUUAGCUAGUUGGUGAGGUAAAGGCUCACCAAGGCGACGAUCUGUAGCGGGUCUGAGAGGAUGAUCCGCCACACUGGAACUGAGACACGGUCCAGACUCCUACGGGAGGCAGCAGUGGGGAAUUUUGGACAAUGGGGGCAACCCUGAUCCAGCCAUGCCGCGUGAGUGAAGAAGGCCUUCGGGUUGUAAAGCUCUUUCGGCCGGGAAGAAAUCGUAUGGGUUAAUACCCUGUGCGGAUGACGGUACCGGCAUAAGAAGCACCGGCUAACUACGUGCCAGCCGCCGCGGUAAUAC